AGACGCAUCACUAGAAAAGGAGGAUAAUCUUAUUUCUUCCCCAGUGGGGUGUUGUUUGCGGUAACCCCUGUUAUCCGUGUCUGAAAUAUCUGAAUAUUAAAUCCCACGAAAUGACUUGGACCAGUUGUCUCGGACUUCUGAGGACUGAUCUGAUGCUAGCUGUGGGCUAACCCUAGCUUUGUGCUUACACUAGCUCUAGGUAAAUGCUAGCGCUCACACCAAUGGUGGGUUUAUUCUAGCACUGUGCUCACUCUACGAGUCACCUUACUACAGGCUAAAGUGCUGACUAUGAUUCCACGUCAAUGCAAGGACCGCGCAGAUGCUUCGACGUAGUCGUAAACCUUUUUUGGUUCUGCAUCGGGUUUUUGUGAGCCGACCAAUCACUGCCCUUGCUGCUGUGUGGCCUCGACAGAAAGUAAUUCUUUUUGGGAGGUGCACGUCACACCCUUGCGGUGGACGCAAGGAGGGUCCGCAAGGAUAUAAUUGGUCCGUAAACCCCCUUGCGUUGGGGCGACGUGGAACCAUAAUCAGCCCUUUAGUCUAGCUGUGACGAUGAUGCUAAUGAUGGGCUUAUGCAAGCUUUUGACGAGUGCUAGGUCUGGGGGGGAAAGAAGACGCCUGCCAGUUCCCUCCUUAGAUCUCCCCUGGCUGGCUGGAUGCCAAUGUUUCCUUGGGCAUGACAUCUAGCCCAAGCUGCUCCCGAAGAGGUGUUUCCUGUCAUGCUCGACACCACAUGCUCGACACCACUGCCGUCAAUAUGUGAAUGUGAACCGCCAGGAGUGGCAGUUCCUAAUGAACGCCUAAAAUUCCCCCUAUUAAUUUACGUGAGGUGAAAAAAUAAGGCAUCGUAUCAAUCCGGUCUAUUUACCGUUUAUGAGCUCUGGUCUGAUUUUGUGUGCUUUCAAAACUUGUGAAAUGUUGUUAUGAUUGGUCGGUAAGGGAGGUCUCAUAAAUCUGUUUCCAUCCCACUGGGCGCGGGGUGUUGCAUGCUGGGAGAUCAGUGCAACGUGGAGAGGGUGGACUUGGACGGCCUGAGGAGACAGACAUACCUGUGGAGGAGAAGGAGAAGGGGGCACCUCCCACCUGCCUGUCCUGCCCAGGAAAGGUGGCUGUCCUUAGGACAACGGUUCGCAUCAGGGCUGCGUACCAUUGCAGAGAAAGCCCCAUCUUCCCGCUCCGAGAUCCCUCUUUCCAUAGGCAAGUACUGCCGCCAAAUCACUGGUAAAACUAGAAUGAGAUCACAAAUUGUAAUGGUACCUACAGAUGUUUCAAAGCAGCCAGGUUUAAUCCAGGGAUUGUCCCCUGUUUUUUGAGAGUGUUGUCAUUGAGUGAGCGAUUUCAGUGAUUGACCACUCUGACAAGUUUGCUACAUUGCACCUUCUCAUGUAUGUAAAUCCGGUCCCUCGAGACACGGCAUUAGCAUAAAGGCAGCAGAUAAUGUAUGGUGGGAUAUAGUUCGGUAGGUACUUGAAGAUAUAUAUACCCCACACGCGUCACACACUGACUUGAAUAAAGACGAGAGGUAGAUCUCGAUUGAGGAGAAGCAAAUGGAUAUUGGUGUACCUGCUUUUCAAAAGGGACAGUUUGGCAGUAGAAGCUGACCAGAAAUGGAGAGAGAUAAUGAGUGGUGUAUGCAUCAGCAGGUCCUCGUAUCCUGGCCUAUGAAUCCAGACCGUAUUCAUUCACGCACACAAAGCAGGCUCCUCGCGUGAGCAUCAAAUCUCUGCCUGAAAUUUUGAAGAUCAUAAUGUUCCCUGAUGUCGCCUGAUAUCUCCCCAUCAUCUCUUCAGUGUUUAACUGGAGACCCAGUCCAACGAGAGAGGAGGUUGAACUCUCCAUCUUCACCCCCUCCCCCGUGUGGCAUCUUGAGGGCAACGCUGUCAAGACAACCAGGAGUGGGGAGACGCAUAACAAGACAAGUGGUGAAGUUUGCUGAGAUGCACCAGGUUCACUACGACUCUUAGUGAUCCCAUCAGAGGUCACACUCCCUCCCCCGCUACCAUGCAGUCUCGCCUCAGACAAGACCCUUACCCCACAGUCUUCUUCUAGAUGAAUCAGUGCUCAUGCUUGGUCUGGCAACAACUGGCAAAUGAAAAGAUUCAGCCUGAUAAAGAAGUUGUGCAGCACAGCAUCAUCAACGGCUUGUCUAGCCCUCUUACGAUGACUUACGUUUAUUACAGUACGUCUUGCUCAACUUCACACGACUAUGACCAUAAACGUCUUGCAGAACCAACCGACUGUUCAGUGGCAAGAAAAACCUCCCAACUAGUCAUUGGGGAAGCAAAGAACCCUAUGGGUUGUGACAUAGUAACACAAUAAUUAGAUUAGAUUAGGUAAAAUGGUGCCUCACACAUUGUUUAAAUGGCUUAUGUAUAUCUACAUAAGCCAUGUUUUUGAUUAAUUUAACACUUCAUAUCAUUGCGUCUCUUCCCAAGAAAACCCUGAUGGGAUAUUGUGCUUUUCGUGAAUAAGUAAUAUAUGGUCUGGCUGACCAGAAGGGGAAUAAAACUGCUAUUCAAGUACCCUCAGCCUCCUAAAGGAGGACAUCAACUGUUAACAUUUAGCAUAUCGCAGCCAAGAUAUAACGAGCCAAGAGCAAGCUUUCAGUCGUCCAUCUUUUUUUCCUUGGAGCAGCAGGUGUCACGACAGCAGAGUCCUCCCGGGUGGGGGAGGACACGAAGAGCUGUGCACAGACACGGGUUCUGUGUUUGGGAAAAGGUGACUGUCACCAUCAUUCACACAAAAUCACUGUGAUCCCCAGGGGGAGAGUGACGCACUGUGUAAGGAAUUAUUCAGAAGCUUUUGACAGGAGGGCAUUGGGAUAAAAAUAGUAAAAUCAAACAAAAUGACUAACCUUUGUCUGAAGUUAAACUUUGCCUCCACUGGUGGUUUGGUGGUCAUUGUGGUGACCAUUAGUGGGAAGGCGUGGUUAUGGUUUUUGGAAGACCGAUUCAACGCUUACAAGAAGUUAACUUGUAUCCCAAAAUACAAUCAUACAGAAUAAAACGACAAGCAGAAACAAGACGAGUCCACAAACAGGGGGCAGAACGAGGGAGUUACACGGAUACAUGGAACACAGGUGACCCAGAAUGAGUAGCUAGCACAGGUGUCACACAUUUAGCUAACGAGACACCGUAGACCUUUGAUGCUUAUGGGGCAGGACCGGGGAAAAGGGGAGGAUAAACCACCACAUCUGGUGGUUAUAGCGUAUCGGCUAUUCUUGCUUGUUGUAAUUUCUCCACAUUAAAGCUAAUUGUCUA